AUUGAACGCUGGCGGCAGGCCUAACACAUGCAAGUCGAACGAGUGGCGGACGGGUGAGUAAUGUCUGGGAAACUGCCCGAUGGAGGGGGAUAACUACUGGAAACGGUAGCUAAUACCGCAUACCAUCGGAUGUGCCCAGAUGGGAUUAGCUAGUUGGUGGGGUAAUGGCUCACCUAGGCGACGAUCCCUAGCUGGUCUGAGAGGAUGACCAGCCACACUGGAACUGAGACUAGGUCUAGACGCCUACGGGAGGUAACAGUGGGGAAUCUUGCUAAAUGGGCUAAAGCCUGAUGGAGCCAUGCCGCGUGUAUGAAGAAGGCCUUCGGGUUGUACAGUACUUUCAGCGGGGAGGCGUUACCCACAGAAGAAGCACCGGCUAACUCCGUGCCAGCAGCCGCGGUAAUUC
rnacentral:rRNA from 1 species